GAGUUUGAUCGUGGCUCAGAUUGAACGCUGGCGGCAGGCCUAACACAUGCAAGUCGAGCGGAUGAAGGGAGCUUGCUCCUGGAUUCAGCGGCGGACGGGUGAGUAAUGCCUAGGAAUCUGCCUGGGUAGUGGGGGAUAACGUCCGGAAACGGGCGCUAAUACCGCAUACGUCCUGAGGGAGAAAGUGGGGGAUCUUCGGACCUCACGCUAUCAGAUGAGCCUAGGUCGGAUUAGCUAGUUGGUGGGGUAAAGGCCUACCAAGGCGACGAUCCGUAACUGGUCUGAGAGGAUGAUCAGUCACACUGGAACUGAGACACGGUCCAGACUCCUACGGGAGGCAGCAGUGGGGAAUAUUGGACAAUGGGCGAAAGCCUGAUCCAGCCAUGCCGCGUGUGUGAAGAAGGUCUUCGGAUUGUAAAGCACUUUAAGUUGGGAGGAAGGGCAGUGAGUUAAUACCUUGCUGUUUUGACGUUACCAACAGAAUAAGCACCGGCUAACUUCGUGCCAGCAGCCG
rnacentral:rRNA from 1 species